GCCUCGGUAGCUCAGUCUAGUUAGAGCAACAGCCUUGUAAGCUGUGGGUCAGGGGAGCGAAGCCCCUCCGAGGCUCCA
rnacentral:tRNA from 1 species